GGCUCAUCAGUAUUUGGUAUCCUUUAAAUUGACUUUGCACUGGCAUAAGCCAGAAGUGUUUGCAGCUUCAGCACUGAUGGAGCAGGAAGGAUUAAGCUCCUCUACUAAAUAUAUGCCUACUGUAACAUGCAUCUGACAUUUGGGAUAAGAGCAAGUAAUAUCUUUUGAGCCUGCAAAUCUUACCAAACAGCUGGGACACCUGCUCCCAGGCAGUGCUUCUAUUAGUGUGGGAACCUCUGUUGCUGGAUUGUAGGUCCCUCAGAGUUUAGAAAAGUAUCUUCAAGGCAUCUUCCUGGUCAUCAAAAUAAAUGGGGUAUUGGUGCAAGGAACAAUUUCUCAAAUAUUUCCUGCAAAUUCCAGCAGAUACUAUGAGUGAUGAUGUUGCAGACAUGAUAAAAUGCACAGUGAAAAUUAUAUGGACAAAAUGAAAGACACUAAAAGUACGGCUGUUUUUGCUUCAUUGAACACAGUGAAUCAUGCACACUGGGUGUAUUCUCAGUGACUGUUCCUUGAUCAUUUUGUUCAUGUAUUGGA